UCCCCGCCCAUAUGUCACCCGGAUGUCUCGGUCACGUGGAUGGGUUUUCCUUACCUUGUGGGAGCAGGCUAGGAAAAAGAGAUUGGCUCAAGUUGGGACGAAUCAAUGAAAUAUAUUGUAGGUGUGAGUGGGGCGAGCAUAAUCGGGUAUAAGCGUUGUCACGUCACUCAAGCAAACUGCACCAAAUCAAAAGAUAAUAGAAGCGCACAUAAUAAAAGGAGUGUCCUCUUCCUGGGCUCUUGAAGUUGGAAUCCUGGAUCAUUAAAAUUCUUCUGUGCUUUGCAUCAGCUUUUACUAGCAUUGGAGCACAAUCAGCACAUGCCCCAAAUGUUGAUAGGGCUCCUCUAAACCCUUGCCUGACUGUCCCAGCACAUUCCCACCACCUUCCUGGGCACUACGGCUGGACACCAACCUUGUUUUGAAGGAAGCAGCAGGCGGUGACGAAGGGAGCACACACUCGCUAGGCUUGAAUUAAAAAAUCCAGCCCACCGGGCGCUCCCCAUCACUGUCCCCUCCGUCGUUGCGCCUCUUUUCCUCUUCUACACUCAGUCCUUCCCCUUUCCAUUUCCAUAGAAGGAGGAGGAGGACCCGGAGGCGGUCCACUGGGGGCCGACUUUUUCAGCACACGCAGACUUCGGCCUCACGCCCAGUAGCAAGACAGCUGCGGGGCUCAAUGAACGGUGUGGCCCGACAACCAAGAAGCCCCAAAGCAGCACAGCUGCUGGGUUCAAAAGAGGGGAUGGCAGGCAGCCCUUGUGCCCAAGAACCACACAGCUGCUGGGCUCAGUGGAGGAAGCAGCAGCGGCACCCCAGAAGAAGAGUUUGAAACCUACUCUAGGAAGAGCAGAAGCAGCUUCAGGAAUAAGAAGCCUACUCUGGGGAGAGCAGAAGCGGCUUCAGGAGGCAGAACAACUACAGACUGUGGUUUAUAAGAAGACAAAGCAAACGGAGAAAGUCAUUACUGUCCCAGCUGGGACAUUCCAAUUUUUUCUUUGUAAACAUUUGUUUGAAUCAAAGGAGUUAUCUCUUUCUGUUUGGGACUGUUCUUAUUGGUAACUACUAGAUUUUAAUGGAUGUGUCUGGACUUUUAUUUUUACUGCAAUAGACUAUUUGAUGUUAUACUUACUUUCGGGCAUAUCAUUUAUACUAAUCUGAAGAACUUUUUUAAGGGUAGUUUCCUGAAGGCUACACAUGCGCAUAACUUUUUAUUCCCUGUGAUAAAAAAUUCUGUCAAACAAAGUAGGGAAUAAGGACUGGUCAUCUCAAUUUUUGUCUCUCUUGCAGACGGUUACUUAAAGAAGAACCUUUUAUAAAAGACUACUUUUGGUUACGGAUCAUUAAGCUUGUAAAACAAUGUCUUACAAUCUUUUUUUUUCAGACAGCUGUGGAGGAGCUUAACAAGAUUUCUCUACAAAUAGAUAAGUUGAGUGCAAAGAUAUCUUUAGAUCAGGAGGUGUCUCAGACUGAUUUAGGGACUUAUACCCAGAUGGUUCUGGAAAAGGAAAUACAAUCCGAACAAUGUAACACCAUUCUGCAGGUUAACUGUGUUGACAAUCAAGUUUAUGUACCAGAUUUUGGUGAUGAGCACAUGGUUGGUUUACAAGUGGCAAAGAAUAUGCGUUCAAUACUGUUCACAGUUGAAUUUCUCUCUAACCGAAUCAAACAUAGAUGGGCACCCACCCUUUCGUGUAUUUAGAAGAAAGUGGAUAUUUCUGUUUUUAGAUUCAAAAUAAGUUUUGGCUGUAUGACCUUUCCUUUUUUUGAACUUAUAGAUGGCUCUGACUGGCUGAUUGACAAAAAAUCUUUUACAUUUUUUGGUUUACAGUGUAGUUGAUUUUGUAGACUGACUGUUUCAGGUAGUCUUUUGGUUAUGCAUUUUUUAAUGAUACAUAAUCUUAUAUUUUUAUGUUAAUCUUUCUAAGAUAAUAAUUUUAAGAUUCCCUCUUUUUCUUUUUCUCUCCCCCUGCCUCUUUUUUAGAAUGUACUAACUAAUGAAAAGCUGCAUUGAAGCAAUUAUUUAAUGUCUGUUGGUUGAAACUCGGAUUGAUAUCUGAAAGAAUACAUAAACCAGUCCUAAAUCUGAUUGUUUUUACAUGAUCAAUUCUUAUGGUAUAGACAGUAAAUCUGUAUUUUUUCAAUUUUAUUUUAC